rnacentral:rRNA from 1 species
CGGCGGACGGGUGAGUAAUGUCUGGGAAACUGCCUGAUGGCGGGGGAUAACUAGUGGAAACGGUAGCUAAUACCGCAUAACGUCGCAAGACCAAAGUGGGGGACCUUCGGGCCUCACGCCAUCAGAUGUGCCCAGGUGGGAUUAGCUGGUAGGUGGGGUAACGGCUCACCUAGGCGACGAUCCCUAGCUGGUCUGAGAGGAUGACCAGCCACACUGGAACUGAGACACGGUCCAGACUCCUACGGGAGGCAGCAGUGGGGAAUAUUGCACAAUGGGCGCAAGCCUGAUGCAGCCAUGCCGCGUGUGUGAAGAAGGCCUUCGGGUUGUAAAGCACUUUCAGCGAGGAGGAAGGGUAAUGUGUUAAUAGGACAUUGCAAA